UACGUAGGGUGCAAGCGUUAAUCGGAAUUACUGGGCGUAAAGCGUGCGCAGGCGGUUAUGCAAGACAGAUGUGAAAUCCCCGGGCUCAACCUGGGAACCUGCAUUUGUGACUGCAUCGCUGGAGUACGGCAGAGGGGGGAUGGAAUUCCGCGUGUAGCAGUGAAAUGCGUAGAUAUGCGGAGGAACACCGAUGGCGAAGGCAAUCCCCUGGGCCUGUACUGACGCUCAUGCACGAAAGCGUGGG
rnacentral:rRNA from 1 species